UACAGAGGGUGCGAGCGUUAAUCGGAAUUACUGGGCGUAAAGGGCGCGUAGGCGGUUUGAUGGGUGUGAUGUGAAAGCCCUGGGCUUAACCUAGGAAGCGCAUCGCAAACUAUGGAACUGGAGUAGAUGAGAGGGUGGCGGAAUUUCCGGUGUAGCGGUGAAAUGCGUAGAGAUCGGGAGGAAGGCCGGUGGCGAAGGCGGCGCUCUGGAACGUUACUGACGCUGAGACACGAAAGCGUGGGGAGCAAACAGG
rnacentral:rRNA from 1 species